UAUAUAUACACACACACGUAUGUAUAGUUUACGUUUUUCCCAGAAAUUAUUUUAAAUGAAAUGUGAUUGAAAUGCCAUGUCAUACUUGUGUUAUAUUUUAGUAUAUGCAUUGGUGUAGUCAUGUAUAAUGUUGCAUGAUGCUGCGGAGCCCGGGUAAGCUACAGGUGAGUACAUUAUGAUGUUAGUGGUUGUGAUGUAUAUGGUUAUGUCUGGAUGCAUUUGGUACUCAUUAUCCUACACCUCGGUGUUAGUGCUCCGCUCGAGGUCAGGGCCAGCUUUCAUGUGAUUGUUCACCUCCCGCACCGUAUGCUCACCUUGGAUCGAAGGCAGGUGCCAGCCUAUCGUAUAGACCACAUUAGGUGGUUCCGACUCGUUUUAGAUGUUGGAUGUUCGUAUCGACGAAGAUUUUGUGGCGAAUCUCAGUAUAGAUGGCUAACUCUAAGGGUAUGAUCCUUACCCACACUACUGUACUUUACUUAUGCUUUGACGUUGCAUGUGAAACGGGCUCGUUCCCGCUUGCACUACAUUCUGGUCCUUAGGCACUUUUAGGUUUAAAUUUAUUCACAUUGUCCACAUCAUUAUACUUUAUGGCUUCGUCACCUUCCAGGUGUUGGCCAGCACAGCUCGAUUCAGAGUCCUAAUGGACAUUCUGGGUCGGGAUGUGUUAAGGCAUCUUGAUUCUCUUUUUUCUUUCAUAAAUAUCUAUUCGAUUGGAAAAUAGGCCAAUGUUUUCCUUACCCACUUAUUGUUCAUAGAAUAACUCAAGUAUUUAGAGUCGUACUUUCUAUGAUUUUUUGUAAAUGAACAGAUCAAGCUCCACUCUUAACCUAGUUAGUCUUCAAUCUACCAAUUACUUUAAUGUUAUGUUUUCUAAUUUGUAUUUGGUCAGCCUUUCAAAAUUAAUGUCUGAUUUCUACCAUUUUUAUUAUUGUUCUAUUGUUUUAAGCUACAUAUGAAGUGUUGUACAUGUUAGGUAGAAUUAAGAAGUGAAUUAGGUGCUCUUGAGAAUGCAGGGGAUAAUUCUAUGGGUGUUAACUUGAUUUUUAGAUUGAUUGUUUAACUAUAACAUAAAAUCUCAAUAUUUACAUUUACAAUAUUAGAAUGCACUGAUCUAAAUAAGAGACUAUUAAA